AUCAUUUUACGGAUCUGUGCCCAGCGCUCCCCUGCUUCGCAAGAAGUUUUCAGGGUCGAUUGUGCUGCGGCAGCUCGAUACCUCCUAUGGAGCCACCCCCCAAACUUUUUCGAAAGAAAUGGUGUCAAUUUUCCUAUCGACAGGUCCAAUAUCAAUCGCGGUGCUUGCAGCCUCAGCUUUUUUCUUCCUUUCCUCUUCGGAGGGGGGGCAGGAUUUGGUUGGGGCUCGCGCUGGGAGUAGUCAUAUUCCGAUCCUCUUUUCCGAGACCGUCGGUCGGUGAGGUUGAGGCGAACCAUGGCGUAUACAUAU
rnacentral:sRNA from 1 species